rnacentral:rRNA from 1 species
UACGUAGGGUGCAAACGUUUGUUCGGAUUUACUGGGCGUAAAGCGCGUGUAGGCGGCUUGGCAAGUCGGAUGUGAAAGCCCACGGCUCAACCGUGGAAGCGCAUCCGAAACGGCCUCGCUCGAGUCUCGGAGAGGAAGGUGGAAUGCUUGGUGUAGAGGUGAAAUUCGUAGAUAUCAAGCAGAACACCUGCGGCGAAGGCGGCCUUCUGGACGAUGACUGACGCUGAGACGCGAAAGCGUGGGGAGCAAACAGG